rnacentral:misc_RNA from 1 species
UCAUUGAUAUUUACAUAUUGG